ACGAACGCUGGCGGCGUGCCUCAUACAUGCAAGUUGAGCGCUGAAGGUUGGUACUUGUACCAACUGGAUGAGCAGCGAACGGGUGAGUAACGCGUGGGGAAUCUGCCUUUGAGCGGGGGACAACAUUUGGAAACGAAUGCUAAUACCGCAUAAAAACUUUAAACACAAGUUUUAAGUUUGAAAGAUGCAAUUGCAUCACUCAAAGAUGAUCCCGCGUUGUAUUAGCUAGUUGGUGAGGUAAAGGCUCACCAAGGCGAUGAUACAUAGCCGACCUGGGAGGGUGAUCGGCCACAUUGGGACUGAGACACGGCCCAAACUCCUACGGGAGGCAGCAGUAGGGAAUCUUCGGCAAUGGACGAAAGUCUGACCGAGCAACGCCGCGUGAGUGAAGAAGGUUUUCGGAUCGUAAAACUCUGUUGGUAGAGAAGAACGUUGGUGAGAGUGGAAAGCUCAUCAAGUGACGGUAACUACCCAGAAAGGGACGGCUAACUACGUG
rnacentral:rRNA from 1 species